CUCCUAACUUUAAAGAUGGAUGCCCCUCCAGAGAGGAGAGACAACCCCACCAGAGUUCAAAGGUUACCAGUGCUCAGUCUGUACAGCAGUCUAUUGAGAAGAGAAGAGUCCAGCAGGAGAGAGCAGACUCCCC